ensembl:processed_transcript
CCGCGUUUUGUCUAAGGCCGCGGUCCAGCUUCCGGUCUGGGUGAUGUUAAGCGGAGGUAAAUAGUAUUAUGGCAGAGUCGUCAAUAUUUACUCGCUGUUUGCGAGUAAAUUAUGGUCAACGAUGUGCAAAUGAUUGUCCGGAUGUGCUCUACAACACCGCAGAGCAAAGCUUGAGAAAGGUUUCAAGUUGUAUGCAUCUUCCUACCUGUGCAAUUAUGAAGGUAACAUUAUGAGAUUCAGAGCUAGAAAAUUAUAUGUGUUACUUCAUCCUGGAGCGGACAUCCGUCAGAAGAUCCAUGCCAUCGUCUGCUAGUUAAUAGCUCCUGCUCUUGUGUGGCUGAGAGUGGGAUAUGCAAACAUUUGGUUGCUUUGCUUUUCCAGACAGCCCAUUACUCUGAAAUGUGUAAUGUGUGUUGUCACAUGAACAAUUGUUUGGAAUGGAUCAAUUAUGUGUUAAGUUCCAUGAAACAGAUGGGUGUUUAUUUAUUUAUUUAAUACACAUCAGCCCAAAUACCUCUCUAUGCACAAGUUACAGAAGAAGCACCUGAUUCAAGAAAACAACUGAUUCAAUGUCAUUUUUUCUGUUCAUCUGAAUAAAAUAUUUUUUUCAAAA